ensembl:lncRNA
CUUGAAUUUAUUGGUUUGACUUCAGAUGUGACUUGUUUGCUUUGCCUGAUGGUCACUGGUGGGACUUCUGCUCAGGUACCGUGGGACUUGUUCUGUGAUUGUUCUACAACAAUUCUGCAUUAACUUGAAAUGGUUUAAAAUCUGUCAGGCCAAGAUCUGAAUAACCACAUGUACCAAAGCAAAAAUAUUGUGGUGAAGCCCAAACCAGGGAUGAAGACUGUGCAAGAUGUGAAGAAAUGAAAUUAAGGAGGAAAACUGAAAACAUUUAUAGCUGAAGAUACUGCCCAGAGAAGCAGUGGAAUCUGUGCCUUUGAAAGUUUUCAGGAUCUGAUGGGGCAAAACUAAGAGAAACCUCAGCAGGAGGUUGUCUACGUGCCUCCUGAAGUCCAUCCCAACCUCCAUAGUUCUGUGAUUCUAUGAACUGUGAACACUGACAGUGUGAUGGUAAUGGAAUUUUGAAAAAAUAUUUUAAAAAUACAGCACUGGGGAUAACAAUAGCUCUUCAAGAUUGACAGCAUGUCAAAUGCUUGAAGUGAGAUGGGUUAUUUAUUUUCAACGUCCACAGCAUGCUGGAAGUAGAUUUUCUUUUGAUGGUAGUGCAGUUCUUCUGUCAAAGAAAUCUCACCGUGUUCUUCAUUGUGUCCAUUGCAAUACACCUGUAAAAUAUAUUUUUAUCAUCUUAAUACUGUUCCUUUAAGCUGUGGCUUUUCCUCUGCCCACCCCCUCCAGCAGAGCCUGCAAGGUGCAAUAGAGAUGUCAGGGGAAAUAUUCUCAAUUGAGAAAGUUCUGCAUUUCAGAACAAUUACAUCUGUGUUUGCCAGGAUUUCAUUAGCCAAAAGCUGUAGUACGUACUGAAUAAUGUGCACAGAGUGAAAUAGUAAAUCACUGCAUACACAAUGAUAGGGCUGUUGUGUGAGUCAGUACAUGGCAACACAUGUCAGUCCUUGUCAGCGAACAGCGUGCCUUGGUUCUGUGGACUGUCCGAUUUCAGCUACCUCACCUUUUUCUCAAACACCUUCUUUCUGGAGCGGUGUUUGUCCUGAGUUGUGUGGAAGUAACAUCCAAGUUCCUCUGUGCCCAUGUUCUCAUUGCAAGAUAUUCUACUGGGUUCUUGACUCCUGCAUCUUUGGAAAGGUAUUGUCUUUCCAAUCAUGGUGUCUCCUGUUAGUGAUUGCUGCUGGAACAGCUGCACUCCAACCUCUGCAAUGAAGAUUUUAUUUUUUGUGCGUGCUCCUGACUUGUCUGCCUGUAAUUAAAAUUGAGCAAGCAGAACAUCAGUGAGUAUGGGAACUGCUGAAUCACGGCCUGAACCUCUGGUUGACCACCUGAGAUGAGCACCGAAUCAGCCGUGGGAGCACAGGUGAAGGCAAUUCAGCUGUGUGACCGGAAGGGGUGGAGCCAGGCUGCACCUCUCCUACACCCCAUUUAAGGGCUGACUGCCACUGAGGAAGGGUCUCUCUCUGGAGAUUGCUCUUCAUGGAGUUUUUGUGAGCCUCCAACAUUGCUAUGGGUUCUGAUCUGAAGAGUAUGGCCCCAGCAGCAGGAAUUUGCAAGACCAGGCAGCACUAAAAUUCUGGGAAUCUGCUGAGAUCUGAGGUGGACUACGUGCUCCUAAGACUCACAGUCCAUGUCAGGCUUCAUCUCAUCAAAAUGAAUGGUGUCUCUUUAUGGCCUGGCAUGUACCGGCAGAAGGUUCUAAGUUACACCAAUGGGACAUUUAAACCUGCCCUAAAAUGCGUUUCAGGUAGGAACAGAAUGACUGUGGAGCAGCCUGCAAUGCCCAUUUGUCGAUUUCCUUGCACUGCACAUGAUCAAUCUGCAUUGCCAUGGGUAAUUUUUGCUGCAAAAGGUGCCUUGUACCAGCUUGUUGAAGCACCAUGGGAAGACACACAAACCACUUGUUUACUCUCUCCAUUUCUAGGAGGUUGGAAGAACCAAACCAUGCUAGAAACAGAACCGCUGCAAGCCAGGCAGCUGAACAGUCAGAGCUUAUGGGGGAAUCCUAGGAGGACUAUUGGAUUGAGAUUUGAGGGCUCAUCAGAGCAGAACAUUGGAUGCAGAGUUCAAAGUGCCCUUGUGUGGGUCCAUUCAGAAGCCACUCAGCAGACCACAGGCGCAUACCUUGUGAGUACUUGGUCUCCUGGAGGUCACACUGCCCCUGGAUGUUUGCUACUAGCUGCUGUGCAGCAGCACUGCCAGAUGUGGGGGACACAAUCUGUUCCUGGCCUUUUGCUGCAGACAGAUGCAAAACCAGGACUGCUCCUACUUUGGCUCUGACUCCUGGUCGUCACACGUGUGACCUCAAAGCUACUGCACACCAUUGUGUACCUGCAGACUUACUGGAGCAAAGCCUCCAAAUGGCAAAUGGAAAAGCCAUCUGGACUUGUCCACGGCCCUGUUAACUCUCAUGGUGCUGCCUUGGCUGUAGUCAACCACCUCUAGCAGGAGGAAAUGUGAUCCUUAACAAAACCAGAGAAGCUUAUCAAGUCACUGAGCAAACCUACAGUGUCCCUUGUACAGGCAGAGAUUCUUCUGAAGCCCCAUCAGAAUUUCUGGUCCAGUCAUCUGCCUCAUUUCUCUCUGUUCAACAUCUGUGGUGCUUUUGUUCAGCAGGAAAAAGCAAAGAUGUUUAAAAGAAAACAAAAAACAGAGCACAAUGCAAACAAACCAAAUUAAAGAAAACGUUUUAAAGCAUUUCCUUGCUCACAAGAUGUGAGAUGGUCAUGUGUUUAAAACUGCAAUAUUAUUUCUGGCAACCGGUCUUGUGAUAUCCUUUUGUUGAUUUUUCCAACCUCUCAAGAAACUGGAAUGAAAAUAUUUUACUGAUGUUACCAUCCCUGGGAACGGUUUGUCAACGCUGACCCAGGUUAAUGCUGCAAACUCAAAAUAUUUGGCAUGUGCUUUUGUAUUUUUCCUUCAUCGAAGAGAUUAUACGGGGUGAAGGUCUGUUCACAUGAAAGCAGUGAGAGAUACCGGCAGUGUACUUAGCAAAACAAGAGGGGCCCUUUUAUAAAUGUGUGUGCAUAUAUGCAAAUAUGCUUUUGCAGAUGAUAAUAUAAUCAUGAAAAAGUCAUUACUGUCGCAUUAAGGUAGCUGGCUAACGGGAAAGCUGCGUGGAUGUUGUGGGGAUGGAUAUCCUGUAGAAACAAGGACAUAUCCAUCACAGUUCUGUGGCAGUUCUGUGACCGGGGGAAUCAAUGGAGCCUGAUUUUCUAUGGCUUUGUGCCCUGAUGUUAUGACCCUAUCGAGAUUUUUCCAAUGUCUCAUAUGAGAUGCUGCACUUUUUACCUCAGAGAGGCACUAAGCACGGCUCUUAGCUGACUGCCUACUUUCAGAAUACUUUUAAGGAUGUAAGAGGGUUGGGUUUUUUUGGAUUUUUAUACCUUUGCCAAAUGUGCUUGCUAUAGGCCUAAACAUUUGAAGAUUCAUAGAGAGGUCUCAGAUGUACAAAGAGACGGCACGGUGUCCUAAAG